AUGGGUGUGUGGAGGAGCAACCGGUGCAGUGUUGGGCCAAGAGGCGUCAUGCUCGCGCUGCCACUGCUGGUCCUCCUGCUGCACGCGGCGUCACCGGCGCGCGGGCAGGCGUCGCCGGACUCGGACGGCGUGGUGAUCGCGCAGGCGGACCUGCAGGGGCUGCAGGCGAUCCGGCAGGCGCUGGUCGACCCGCGGGGGUUCCUGCGCGGCUGGAACGGCACGGGCCUCGGCGCCUGCUCCGGGGAGUGGGCAGGCGUCAAGUGCGCGCGCGGCAAGGUCGUCGCGCUGCAGCUGCCGUUCAAGGCCCUCGCCGGCGCGCUCUCCGACAAGGUCGGCCAGCUCACCGCGCUGCGCAAGCUCAGCCUCCACGACAACGCGCUCGGCGGCCAGGUGCCGGCCGCCAUCGGCUUCCUCCGCGACCUCCGCGGCCUCUACCUCUUCAACAACCGCUUCGCGGGCGCCGUGCCGCCGGCGCUCGGCGGGUGCGCCUUCCUCCAGACGCUCGACCUCAGCGGCAACUCGCUCUCCGGGACCAUCCCUUCCUCUCUCGCCAAUGCAACCAGGCUCUACAGGCUCGACCUCGCGCACAACAACCUCUCCGGUGCUGUGCCGGCCAGUCUCACCUCUCUCCGUUUCCUCGAGUCCCUUAGCCUCAACAAUAACAAUCUCACUGGCGAGAUGCCAUCCACCAUUGGCAAUCUCAGGAUGCUCCGUGGUCUGUCUCUAAGCAGCAAUCUGAUCAGUGGCAGCAUCCCUGAUGGGAUUGGGAACCUCUCAAGGCUCCAAUUUCUGGACCUUUCUGACAAUCUUUUAGGUGGUAGCCUCCCUGUCUCACUCUUCAACGUUACCUCGUUAGUAGAGAUCAAGCUCGAUGGCAAUGGCAUUGGAGGUCACAUUCCUGAAGCCAUUGACGGGCUCAAGAACCUAACCAAGCUGUCCAUGAGGAGAAAUGCCCUCGUCGGGGAAAUUCCGGCGGCCACCGGGAACCUCUCAAGGCUGUCGUUGCUCGACGUCUCCGAGAACAACCUCACGGGAGGGAUUCCAGGGUCCUUGAGCAGCCUUGCCAAUCUCAACUCUUUCAAUGUGUCUUACAACAACCUCUCAGGCCCUGUGCCUGUGGUUCUUUCCAACAGGUUCAAUUCCAGCUCCUUCGUAGGAAACCUUCAGCUGUGUGGGUUCAAUGGCUCCGAUAUCUGCACCUCCGCUUCUUCUCCGGCGACCAUGGCGUCUCCGCCGCUCCCUUUGUCACAGCGGCCGACCCGGAGGCUCAACAGAAAGGAGCUCAUCAUUGCAGUCGGAGGCAUCUGCUUGCUCUUCGGUCUCCUCUUCUGCUGCGUCUUCAUCUUCUGGAGGAAAGAUAAGAAGGACAGCGCACCUUCCCAGAAGGGCACCAAGGGCACGGCAACCAAGGAUGCCGGGAAGCCUGGCACGGUCGCCGGCAAGGGAAGUGACGCCGACGGGGACGGCGGUGGCAAGCUAGUCCACUUUGACGGCCCCCUCUCGUUCACGGCGGAUGACCUACUUUGCGCGACCGCGGAGAUCCUGGGGAAGAGCACGUACGGGACAGUGUACAAGGCGACCAUGGAGGACGGCAGCUACGUGGCGGUGAAGCGGCUCCGGGAGAAGAUCGCCAAGAGCAGCAAGGAGUUCGAGGGGGAGGUGAACGCGCUCGGCAAGCUCCGGCACCCCAACCUCCUCUCCCUCAGGGCUUACUACCAUGGCCCUAAGGGCGAGAAGCUCCUGGUGUUCGACUUCAUGACCAAAGGCAACCUCGCCUCUUUCCUCCAUGCUCGCGCGCCGGACAGCGCACCAGUGAGCUGGUCGACGAGGAUGAACAUCGCCGUGGGCGUGGCCCGGGGGCUGCACCACCUGCACACCGAUGCAAGCAUGGUGCACGGCAACCUGACGAGCAGCAACAUCCUCCUGGACGAGGACAACAACGCCAAGAUCGCCGACUGCGGCCUGCCGCGCCUCAUGAGCGCCGCGGCCAACAACAACGUGGUCGCCGCGGCCGGCGCGCUCGGCUACCGCGCGCCCGAGCUCUCCAAGCUGAAGAAGGCCAACACCAAGACCGACAUCUACAGCCUGGGCAUGAUCAUGCUCGAGCUCCUCACCGGCAAGUCGCCAGGGGACACGACCAACGGGCUCGACUUGCCGCAGUGGGUGGCCUCCGUCGUCGAGGAGGAGUGGACCAACGAGGUGUUCGACCUUGAGCUAAUGAAGGACGCGGCCACGGGCUCGGAGACCGGCGAGGAGCUCGUGAAGACGCUGAAGCUCGCGUUGCAUUGCGUCGAUCCUUCGUCCGUGGCACGGCCCGAGGCGCAGCAGGUACUGCGGCAGCUCGAGCAGAUCAAGCCCUCGAUCGCGGUCUCCGCCACCUCGUCCUUCACUGGCGAGCCGAGCCAUACUACUGCGACCGCCACUACCAUCACCGAUGACACAAGAUCCACCACCACAGAGUAG
rnacentral:rRNA from 1 species